rnacentral:rRNA from 1 species
UUGGGGCGACAAAGGAACAAAUAAAACUUCCUUCAAAAAAAGACUAAUCAGUCUCCCACCCUACCCCUCAAGGGAUUCAAUAAAGCUACCUUAGGGAUAACAGGCUAAUUCACCCUAAGAGCUCUAAUCGACGGGGGAGCUUGGCACCUCGAUGUUGGCUUAAGGUUCCUCUAUUACGCAGAAGUAAUAUCAGGUGGUUUGUUCAACCAUUAAACCCUU